GUCAACCACCCGACGCCGACCCUAACGGGUACGGCGCGGACUUGAAAAAGCCCGAGAGUUGACCAGGCUAAGUCCUUUACGGACUCCGUUAUCGAGCUGGACUUACGCAAUUCAACGUUACCCACGCUAAAUGUAGAGCUUGGUGGGCAUUGCCCACCCUACAUUUGGAGUAAAU
rnacentral:sRNA from 1 species